rnacentral:misc_RNA from 1 species
GAUGAAGAACGUAGCGAAUUGCGAUAAGUAAUGUGAAUUGCAGAUUUUCAGUGAAUCAUCGAAUCUUUGAACGCAUCUUGCGCUCUUUGGUAUUCCGAAGAGCAUGCCUGUUUGAGCGUCAUGAAACUCUCAACUCCACAAGUUUUGUAAUGAGAUUUGUGUGAGCUUGGAUCUUGAGUGUUGCAGGUGUUACAACCAGCUCAUUCGAAAUACAUUAGCGAUCACGCAUUUGGCGUUGGUUUGACUUGAAGUGAUAGUAAUACAUUUCCUUCAAGGACACUUCCCUUUAAACGGACAGUGACCACACCCUUUGCCAGAACGCUCAUAAAACCCCAAUUUAUAUCAUGAUUAGACCUCAAAUCAGGUAGGACUACCCGCUGAACUUAAGCAUAUCAAUAAGCGGAGGA